CAUUAAGUGGCUGAGAUUCAAGCAAUGGAAUUUUAAACCAUUUUACAGUAAAUUAUUACUCUUAAUG
rnacentral:tRNA from 1 species